rnacentral:rRNA from 1 species
AACAAGGUUUCCGUAGGUGAACCUGCGGAAGGAUCAUUACCGAGUUCUCGGGCUUCGGCUCGAAUCUCCCACCCUUUGUGAACAUACCUCUGUUGCUUUGGCGGCUCUUUGCCGCGAGGAGGCCCUCGCGGGCCCCCCCGCGCGCUUUCCGCCAGAGGACCUUCAAACUCCAGUCAGUAAACGUCGACGUCUGAUAAACAAGUUAAUAAACUAAAACUUUCAACAACGGAUCUCUUGGUUCUGGCAUCGAUGAAGAACGCAGCGAAAUGCGAUAAGUAAUGUGAAUUGCAGAAUUCAGUGAAUCAUCGAAUCUUUGAACGCACAUUGCGCCCCUUGGCAUUCCGAGGGGCAUGCCUGUUCGAGCGUCAUUACAACCCUCAAGCUCUGCUUGGUAUUGGGCGCCGUCCUCUCUGCGGACGCGCCUUAAAGACCUCGGCGGUGGCUGUUCAGCCCUCAAGCGUAGUAGAAUACACCUCGCUUUGGAGCGGUUGGCGUCGCCCGCCGGACGAACCUUCUGAACUUUUCUCAAGGUUGACCUCGGAUCAGGUAGGGAUACCCGCUGAACUUAAGCAUAUCAAUAAGCGGAGGA